GCUGGGGGAGGGGGUAGCCUGUGACCGAGCUCGAGGGAGACUGGAGAACUUGGGGGGCGGCGGGCAGGAAAAACAGUUACCCCUAGCAUCUGGGAGCCUGAGACUCAAAGGCACAACUGGGCUCACAGUGGAUGCCUGUGGGACCGCGGCGCGGGGGGCAGACGUUAACCCGGCCACCUCUCGCGCACGUAUUCCACGCCGUCCUUGCGUGGAGAGGAUCGGGAUGGGGGGUGGAAUCCAAAGACUGAGCAACUCUGAGCUCGGUGCUUCCGCUCCCCGCGGUCCCACCUGCCUGUCGGCUGUUACCCUAGAGCCCCAGAGGAUGGGUUCUUGAGAUCCGUGCCCCCAAACGAGCCUAGUCCCCUGUCCUACCCGCUCCCAUUGCGCUGCUGUUCCCAAGGAGAAGCCUUGGGUAGGUGGUCAGAGGAAUUCGUUUCUGGGCUUGGGCUCCUGCCCCCUGGCCCAGCGGCCGAGAACAAGGACCCACAACAGACCGACACACUGACCCAUCCGCGGGCCCUAGGGACCGACAGCAGCGCUGCCCGGCCUCCCCCGCCUGCAGCGGCGAGAGGGGGCAUCCGCCAGGUCCUAAAGCCCUUUGUUCCCGCUUUGUCUAAAAGACUCAGAAUUCAUCAAACCGGGAACCGAUAUCUCAGACAAGCAUUGCAGAGAGUGCAAUGGCCAUCCCCGGUUUCGUCAUUCAGGCGGGGCCACAGGAAAUUUGGCCUGGCAGCGAUGCUCUAGGGCUGACAGUGGGUUGCUGGGGGUGGGAGGAGGUUUGGACGAUCUCGACCUUUAUUCGUUAAAGGUUUAUCAAUCCGGGACACGCGGACACUGAUGGAAGAGAGAACCAAACUUACAUCAGACACUCUGGACCGCCGGCUCCACCACUUGCUGGGAGCCUUAAAGACAUCAGAUCAAGGUGAUGAGAUGAAGGACGAGGAGUUGGAGCAAAUCACCCAUGACUGAGGGGGAAAGAAGAGUUGGGGAUGUCUUGUGUGAGUGAGUCUUCCUGUUGCUCAGGAGAGGAGAUAAGGGAAUUAAUCUACCAGAGCAACAUCCAUUUCUCCCACCAGGCUAACUGAGCUGGGGACACCAGGCCAGCUGAGCAUAGACUAAAGUGGUUUUCUUUUUCUUCCAUUCCCCUCUCACCCCAGGGCUUGGAUCCAGGCUUGAUGCAUGCACAGCAUGUGCUGGACCCUGAGCUUCACCUCUAGCCCUUCUUUUCCUUUUUUCUCCUUUUUUUCUUUUUGACAGAAAAAAAGAAAAGAAAUAUAUCAGAAAAAUCUGGAACAUUAAUCAAGAAAAAUAGAAGAAAUUAAGCAGAUAGUAAUAAGCGAAGAUAUCCAAAGUCAGUUUGGGAAGGUCAGUUUAUUAGGAAUCACUCAUUUAUCCAACAAACACCAUCAUGGACUAUAUGCCUAGAGGUGUGCCCGGCAUCUUUUUUUUUCAUUCACUGUCUCUUUAAUAACUGUUAAUAAAAGAGUUUCUC